rnacentral:rRNA from 1 species
AGAGUUUGAUCCUGGCUCAGGAUGAACGCUGGCUACAGGCUUAACACAUGCAAGUCGUGGGGAAACGGCAUUAUGUGCUUGCACAUUCUGGACGUCGACCGGCGCACGGGUGAGUAUCGCGUAUCCAACCUGCCCCUUACUUGGGGAUACCCCGUUGAAGGACGGCCUAAUACCCGAUGUGUUUCAUUGACGGCAUCCGAUAUGAAACAAAGGUUUUUCCGGUAAGGGAUGGGGAUGCGUCUGAUUAGCUAGUUGGCGGGGCAACGGCCCACCAAGGCGACGAUCAGUAGGGGUUCUGAGAGGAAGGUCCCCCACAUUGGAACUGAGACACGGUCCAAACUCCUACGGGAGGCAGCAGUGAGGAAUAUUGGUCAAUGGGCGCAAGCCUGAACCAGCCAAGUAGCGUGCAGGAAGACGGCCCUAUGGGUUGUAAACUGCUUUUAUACGAGAAUAAUUUGAUGCACGUGUGCGUUAUUGCAUGUAUCGUAUGAAUAAGGACCGGCUAAUUCCGUGCCAGCAGCCGCGGUAAUACGGAAGGUCCAGGCGUUAUCCGGAUUUAUUGGGUUUAAAGGGAGUGUAGGCGGUUUGUUAAGCGUGUUGUGAAAUUUAGGUGCUCAACAUUUAACUUGCAGCGCGAACUGUCAGACUUGAGUACACGCAACGUAUGCGGAAUUCAUGGUGUAGCGGUGAAAUGCUUAGAUAUCAUGAAGAACUCCGAUUGCGAAGGCAGCAUACGGGAGUGUAACUGACGCUUAAGCUCGAAGGUGCGGGUAUCGAACAGGAUUAGAUACCCUGGUAGUCCGCACAGUAAACGAUGGAUGCCCGCUGUUAGCGCCUGGCGUUAGCGGCUAAGCGAAAGCAUUAAGCAUCCCACCUGGGGAGUACGCCGGCAACGGUGAAACUC